rnacentral:rRNA from 1 species
AGCGAACGCUGGCGGCAGGCUUAACACAUGCAAGUCGAGCGCCCCGCAAGGGGAGCGGCAGACGGGAGAGUAACACGUGGGAACAUACCUUUUGGUUCGGAACAACUGAGGGAAACUUCAGCUAAUACCGGAUAAGCCCUUACGGGGAAAGAUUUAUCGCCGAAAGAUUGGCCCGCGUCUGAUUAGCUAGUUGGUGAGGUAACGGCUCACCAAGGCAACGAUCAGUAGCUGGUCUGAGAGGAUGAUCAGCCUCACUGGGACUGAGACACGGCCCAGACUCCUACGGGAGGCAGCAGUGGGGAAUAUUGGACAAUGGGGGCAACCCUGAUCCAGCCAUGCCGCGUGAGUGAUGAAGGCCUUAGGGUUGUAAAGCUCUUUUGCCCGGGAAGAUAAUGACGGUACCGGGAGAAUAAGCCCCGGCUAACUUCGUG